CCUGAGCUGCUUGGUGGCUGUGGGCAGGGUGCACGCAGAUUUGGCCAGCAGCCCCGCGACAAGGACUGCCCUCGAUGCCGAGGCGGUACAGUUCGUCUCUAGGCACACGGCCGACGAGAAGUUUCUUUUCAUAAACAAGAAAUCUGGACCUGGUGAACAGCUUCGCGAGUCGGGACAUCCUGACGGCCGGAAGUCGGGGCAACAGUGAAGGAAAUGACGAGGCAGCCAUGGCGAUCAUCAUGAGCUUGCUGGAAGUGGACGCUGGAUUUGGUGCACCGGUGGACUUCAGUGGCAUGCUGGGGCCCUUGCCUUGAGACACCCGUUCGCACUCCUGUUUACGCGGACCUCUCGCGAACCGCUUCUCACGUCGAACAGAGAAUACAGAAUCUAUGGACACUCAUGCGAAGACAUUGCAUGUUUUCUGUAUUCACUCCGAAGUGCGUGUACUUUACCGCACAGAACACGCUUCGGCAAAGACCGAGCCCAGAAGGAAACGUUUCAAGGAACUGACGUUCAUCUCUUCCAGCGUGGUUCGCGGUAAACCACGUGGCGUACUUGUCGUACAGUGCUGGUUUAAUUAUUUAGGCUUCCUGUGUUUUAACAGCAAGUUCUGCUUCGAUAAUGUGCUCCAUUAUUUCCCUGUCCACAGAUUGGCAUGGGACCAUGUGAUACAGCCGCUUCGCUAUGGUCGUUAAGAUAUACUGUACACCCUUGCUGCGCCUUCCCUGAAUGCGUAGACGCACACAUUUGGAAUCACAGGCCUCAAUAAAAGAUUAAUUAAGGAGCA